GUCUACGGCCAUACCACCCUGAACGCGCCCGAUCUUGAAAGCUAAGCAGGGUCAGGCUUGGUUAGUACUUGGAUAGGAGACAAGUAACUAGGAAGCAUUCCACA
ensembl:rRNA 5S_rRNA 5S ribosomal RNA